GACCCCGCAACUCCCUCGGUCCGCUGGGCAGCCCAGCUCCAGCCCGCCCCACGCACCAGCAGGAGAGGGGACUUCUCCCCCACGGCCCCUGCCUGCCAGAUGUGACGCCGAGCCCUGCCCCGUGCAGCCCUGUUACUAGAGAAGAAAGGAUAACUAGGGAGUGGCCACCAAAAGGCGGCCUGAACCGCCCCUAAGUGGGCUUCGCGGGCGGGGUGGGGAGGGACUCUUUUUCCGGUGGCAGUGGAGGAAUCGCUCCGUUGAGUAACGCCCGGUGACGCGACCCAGGGCUAUAAAAGCAAAAGUUGUGACCCGUCCAGCAGGAGUUAGCGACAGGGAGGGCCGGCGCCUGGGGCUAGCGGUGGGGCCGAAGUGGCUAGUUCAGGGUCUUAGGAGACAGCCGGGGAUGGCAGAGCUAGACGGGGUCGGGGCACCUGGGGGAGGAGGACAGCAGUACUCCAGGCCUCCCGUCCCUGCUGUGCUGGAUGGGAAUUUGAUUUCCAGGAGGGCGAGGCCUUUCCUUGCGCCUCGCUGGCCCCAGUGGCCUGGUUAAUGUGGAAGAGGAAGGCGGCCGGGGCGGGAAGAGGUGGAGACUGGCCCAGGCAGUGGUCACUGGCAGGCAGGGUCGCAGACCCGCAACUGGUUAGGGAAGGCCGACUUGGAACUUGUCAAUACCAGCAGCCCGGUUUUUUUUCCAGACAAAGGGUUGUGAACCCGCCUGGGGAUGAGGCCUGGUCUUAAGGAAACUGGACUUAGCUUCGCGGGCUUGACAGCUCUGGCCCAGGGUGGUAUGUAAAGAGGGCUCAGCCUGGCGGAGCCCAGGUCGGAGACGAGGGGUGGCCUGAGGAGUGACCAUGAACCAGUGUGCCAUCCCCACUUGUUAACUGGUGUUCCUAACGUGUCAGCCAGGCGGGGGCUGCCAAGGCAGGCUUCUUGUGUCUGGGGACAAUAUUGACCAACGCUUUAUUUUCCAGGUGGCAGUGCCCUCCCCUCUGGACUUUCCUAGGUUCGGUGCUAAACUCUUCCUGAGCUCACUCUCCCCUCCUCCUCCCUCUUAACUCUCUGAGGUUGUCCCUUCACUUAAAACCUUGCCUCUGCUCAUCUGGUAAGCCUGGUGAAGUCGCAGGAGCACUCUUGGAGUCGGUAUUGUUGGUAAUGGUGCAGGAGGAAAGGCCCUCCCCGUGGAGCCUGGGGUGGGGCGGGUUGGUGUUGCUUUUGGAGAGGGUGGGGAUUGAAUGUGCACCGCUGGGUGGGGCCGCAGCAGUGGUUCCAGCAGAAGUCUCCCAAAUGCCUCAUGGUCGUGGUUUGUUACUAUAGUGUUCAUCAUGGCGAGCAGAUGGCACCAGGAGAAAUGGAGCCCCUGCCAGUGUGAGUCCUAGCAGUGCAGGAGGGGAGACCCUGAAGGACGCAGCCCGCUUAACUUGAUGCCUGCACAUUGAAUUCCAGAGGCUUAGGAGGAGGAGGAAGUUCUCCAGUGCCCUGUGCCCAGGCCUUGCUCAGGAGCCCUGUAUUCAGGAGGCCACCUAUUUAUUAAGGUUUUCAGAUGAGCUUGUGGGAGGCAGAUCAAAGCCCAAAGCAGAUGCAUCGGCUUGAGGGGCCAUCAUUGAAUGAACGUUCCAGCUGCAUCAUCCUUCAGACCCAGCAGUGUCAGCAGGCACCCCUCUGGUCCUGGGGGUAGUUUUCAGAUGUUGUGUCUUCUAAAUUGAGCCUCCAGUCUUUCUAGUUCUGUGCUAUGAACCUUGCUUCCAGAAGAUUCUUAAGCUAUAGAACAUUUUAAUGUUGAUGCAAGAACCAGCGGGAUACCUUUUAGAUGGCACUUGGAGAUGGAGCCAGGGACCUCUCACCUACCCACCUGCUUGCCUGCCUGCCUGCACGUUGGCCCAAGGAAUUCUUGAUGUGAUAAAACUUUGGGAUGUUGGGGAAAGCUCUUUGAUUUUUUAAAUGCUGUAGGCAGAGGGGUGUUAGCAGAAGCAGAUUGUCAAAUUGUGGAGGGUCAUGUCUUGAGCUAAAGUGGGAGGGGUGGGGCUGGCCAUGUCCAGGAGCUGUGUUGCAGGGGGUCUGUUUUGUUUUGUUUUUUAAAUCAGAAAACGUAUAAAACUUUAGAUUUUUCAAGCUGGGUGCGAUGGCGCAUGCCUGAAAUUCCAGCAACUUGGGAGAUUGAGGCAAGAGGAUGGUGAGUUCAAUGCCAGCCUCAGCAAAAGCAAGGCACUAAGCAACUCAUUGAGACCCUGUGGAUAUGAUUUGUUAAAGUCACUAAAUUCAUCGUCGUCAUCAUUAUAGUCAAACAUGGGGAGUUGUCCUAACAAACUCAAUGGUGAUUAUUUCCUGAGUUCUCGUUGUGGAUUGAGAUGAUACAUUAUGGGUGUUGGUGAAUCCACCUGAGGAUGUUCUUUUCAGUUCAGGUGCUGGGAAGCAGGGCUGUAGCUCGGUGGUAGAGUGCGUGCCUAGCACGGAAAAGGCCCCAGCGGUUUCACUGGUAGCUCCAUCAUAGUCUGUUGCAAAAUCACCUGGGGAAACUGUUGCAUUGGAGACUCCAGGCCAAGAUACUGAUUUCAUCUUACAUGGAACAGUUACUGCAUUGCUGACUCCCCAGUAGGUCUUUUCAAAAUAGAUGGGAGCACCGAAGCAUCUAUGAGUCCACUUGAUCUUUUCAAAGUACACGGGGCCAUCGUUGGAAUGGUGAGUCUACUUGGUGAUUUUAUAUUAGCUGCUGCAGGUGAGGGAACGAAGAGUCCACUUGGCGAAUUCAUGUUAGAUGCUGCAGGCCUUUCAUGGUGGCUGCAUUAUAGACGUCUGAUGUCAGUUCAUUCAGGUGUGGUAUUUCAUUUAUGGGUUCCACACAAGUUAUUUCUUCUGAGCUCUUGUUGACAUUCAGGGGAGGGGGCACAGAAAAGCUGUUACUGCGUUUUUAUUUCCCUCGUCAUUGUUGUCAGAGGCUACGGUGGAUUCUGUGAAAGCACUCAUAAUUCUCAGGCAAAGUCAGUGGCAGCUGCCACCAAGACCACUGAAGAAAGCAUGUGGCAGACCCCCCUUGGCGGGGCAUGGGUAUUUUGUUUUUAUGUUUAGCUUUUCUGGUGCUGGGGAUUGAACGGGCCUUGGGCAUCUUGGGCAUCGUACGCUAGUGCUUUGCUACUGAGCUACAGCCCCAGCCCAUUUUUUUUUUCAUUCCUCCUCCCCUUUUUUUGUCUCCCCCCCCCUUUUUUUUAACUUACUGUAGAUUUCGGAGUACUCUUGUCAUUCCAGUUGGGGGCCCCUGAGGGGGGAGGAGGAGGACAAGGACUCAGCUUGUCACUAGUGAUGGGAGGGAUUGGACUGAAGAUGGGGUGAGAGGGUUGGUGAGGGGUGCAGUGCUGGGAGGGGGAGGGUGGUGUGGAAUGUGGGUUGAGAAUUCUCUGGAGACACCCUAGGCAGAGAUCUGGGAACUUUCAUAGAAUUUGUGAGUUAAGAAAAUAGUAAAUUAUUAGCUAAAUGGUUAUAUAUAUAUAUAAGCAGUGGAAGUUGCCUGGAAAUUUUUCUAAAAGUGCUUACGAUUUUUAAGUUCAAGGAGAAAAGCAAAAUUGUUUUGCUUUGCUGUAAAGUGGGACAGACUGACAAGGUACAACUGAAAAUAAGAAUAUUUAGUUACUUGAAGAAUGUCAUGGGACUUGAUGGCAAGUCUUCAGGUUUCAUCUGAAGCUGGGAAGGAUUUUCAGAGCAACAAAUCUUAGAAAAGACUUGUAAAUGCCAACAUUGUGGGGUUUUAAACAUGUUAAGUGUGCACUUAUCAUGAGAUUAAGAUGGACUCUCCUGGUUUUGUAAUUCAUGUUUUGUCACUGAGAUCUUAUGCAAAAUUCUGAGCAAAACGGAAAUGUAAUGAUUUCUAGAGGAAUUUCAUAAGAAGUGCCUUGUAGAUAUUGUCAUUGGUCAAAAACCAUAACAGCAAAAAUUUUGUUUACUAAAUAUAGUCUUUUGAAGUCUCAGUCAUUGUAACGAGAAAAACCAAAUAACCUUUUGUGGUCACAGUGAAAUUACUAUGAUAUUUGGUAACGAAAUCAUUAGUGAAUAAUCACCAUUGUAUUUUUAGUUUGAAUGAUCCAGGACUGGAGCGGGGGAUACUAAGAGCAAACUGGGCAAAGGGGACCGCUCAGCAGAGGCAGUCUGUAAGAGCUGACUGUUCAAUUGGUAAAGUAACUCCAAUGGGUUUGUCAUGUGUCUCCCUCUAAAUUUCACUUUGAAAAAUGUAAAUAUCCUGUACCUUUUAUCCUUAGGAUUUUCCUGUGUUCUGUGUUCCUUUUUUGAAAUGCCUAAAAAAUACAAUGGUGUGGUAAUUUCAGUUCUUAAUCAGUGACUUGGGCAUGAUACAAGUACUGUCAUUGGAACUUAAAGUGUAUUAGUCAUGCUUGUGUGGGGAAAUAUUUCUGGGUAUGCUGUUGUGUAAUGAAAGCUGUAAAAGCAGGUGGUUAAAAGGACUUGUUUGUAUGGCACUCACUGUUCUAUUGUGUGUGGUUACUAACCAUUUUUCUUCCCCUUUACAGCACAAAUAAAGGUUUGAGUUCUAAACUCCUUAGAAUUGUUGUAUUGCUAUGUUACAUUGCUCCACUGUCCUGUUGCCUCUGUGAUGAAGGUGGAUGUAUCCUCAGAUUGUAGUCUGAGGCCUCGAUUCCCAUUCACUAGUUAGCUCCAAAUAAUUUGGGCCAUUGGUUGAACCAGUAAUCUUCAUUGAAAUGGGUGGAUUGGGAGGAGGGCUGUGCUCUGUGGGGAGUUGGUAAUGUUUGUUCAAACCUGAUGCGGAACCACAUGAAGGUGAGUGUCUAGGUGGGGGAGUGCUUUGGCUCUGGUAUUCUAGAACAUUCCCUGGCCAUAUUUCCAAAUGCCACCUAUUUCAUUUGGGGAAAAUUCUAAAGAACAGAAUGGACAUGUAAUAAGUGGUUUUGAGUUUUCAUUCUUUUGGGAGCUGGUGUGUAUACGUGCUUAAGCUCAUAAUUCUUUUUCUUUUGGUAUGUGACUAAAAGGUUUGGGCUUAUGUAAGUGCUCUAUGGAGCCAGCCAGGGCUGCGUGAGGACGUGGGUGGGGGCACUUGGAAUCCAGAGUGUGCGUCAUGCCUGUAAGCCGAUCUGCGUCCUGGGUGGGGAAGUGGCAGCAUGACUCAUCCUGGCACUUGUAUUUCUCAGUGUUGUCUUGUGUCACCAGUGAUGAGUUGUCACUUCUCUAGCUGAGAAUAGAACACUGUCGGUGUCCCCUAAGGGAAAUCGCCUGGUGGGGGGCUGGGGGGAGCUGGGCGAGCUUGGCUGGGAAGGGGAGUGGGGUGCAGGGGGUGAGAGCUGCAGGUCGACUGCCACCCUGGUUCCUGAGUGUUUCUUGGUGACCCUCCCUUGAACACUACUGAGAACCCCCAAAAGAGAAAGACCACGUGCCACCCAGCGGGCCUUCUGUCAGGUCCCCUGGCCCUGCCUGUGGCAGGCGCUGCUGUGUGUGAUAGCGGGCCUACAGGGAGCAAGGCGAACUGGAAGUUCUUGUCAAAAUGGAAGUAGCCUGAGAGCAGGCAUGGACUUGCUGUGCGCCCAGGCCGAGACUCAGGGAAGCGGCCUGUUAGGAAAAGGGGAGGCACCGUCGCUGCCCCAGCACCACCCUGUCGCCGCCCUCGGUUGGUCUUGCUGAUUCUGAUCCUGAGCGGACUGCAAGGCCCUCUAAUGCCAGGCGAGCGUCUGCGUGUUGCUGAGGCCCUGGAGGAAGGUUAGCCUCCGGCCAUGCCUGGUGGCGUUGCACCCAUAGUGCUGUAUCGAAGGGGAGGCGCCACAACAGGCGCACAGUUAAAUCUUCAUACUAACAUAGUACGUGGAUGCAGAAUGGGAAGGGCAAGGGGAAGAAAAGGGUGUCCCCUCUUCAGCCCUGCCUGCAGGGCCUCUGACCUUGACCUGCCUGCACCCUGCACCAAUUCCUCACCGAAUUCUCAUGUCGAAAGGGUUUACCAUAGGGGCUGGGUUGCAGCUCAGUGGUGGAGCGCUUACUUAGCACGGGUGAGGCACCGGGUUCAAUCCUCAGCACCGCAGAAAAAUAAAUAAAGGUAUUGUGUUCAUCUACACUAAAAAAAAAUUUUUUUAAAAGGGGUUUACCAUAAAGUUUUGCAAAAAGCAAGUUGAAAAUCUUCAGUAGUCUUCUGUUAACAAUUGUUACUGGCAUAUUUACUUGUUUUUUCCUUAUGCAUCAGAUGUUUUUGUACAAAAAUGGGAUUAUACUUAAAUUCUGUUUUAUGACUGUUUUUCCUUUAUAUACAGUGAACACCUUGUUAUUUGAGGCAUCAUUUUCAUUGGUGACAAUGUUCUGGUUCUAGCAUGGCUGUGUUAAUUUAAACAACUUCACUGAGAUGAACAUACAGCUUAUUUCCCAGGGUUUUUGUUUUUUUGUUUUAUUCCUCUCAGGAAAUAAAAGUUAUGUUGACCUUCCUUGUAGAUCAAACUUUUCACGUCUGUUAUUUAUUCAAGAUACGUUAAUACAUGUCUAGAAGGGAAUGACGGUAAUAUGCUUCUUAAACCAGGUGUGGUGGCACAUGCCUCUAAUCCCAGCAGCUUGGGAGGCGGAGGCAGGAGGAUCUUGAAUUCAAAGCCGGUCUCAGCAAUUUAUCGAGGCCCUAAGCAACUCAGUGAGACCCUGUCUCUAAAUAAAAUACAAAAAAGGGCUGGGGAUGUGGCUCAGUGGUCAAGUGCCCCUGGGUUCAAUCCCCAGUACCAAAACAAAAGUUUAGGUUCAUAUUGCUUACUUUCCCUCUAGGGAGGGAUUUUCUCAAUUGGUGUUCUCACAGUGAGGAAACUUGACUCUUACUCAGAGUCCACUUAUGGUACUAAAAACCUUUGCUACUUGGAUAGAUCCAGACUAAUUUACCUUUGGACGUGAGUGUUGCUUUGCCUGCUGGUGAAAUUGAACUUCUCACCUGUUGAUUGUCCAUUAGCAGUGUGAGUGCAAAAGAGUGAUUUACAGCUCUUCAAGCACUUGUUUUCCUGUUAGUUGUUUUGUAAAUACUGUUUACAUAUUAAGGAUAUUAAUGAUCUUUUUUAUAUUUGGUGCAAAAUUCUGGUUACUAGGUUGACUUUUAAUUUUUUUGUAAACAUACAAAAGUUUCACAUUUUUCUGAGGUUAAAUCAAAUCACUGUGGGUUCUACUCUUGUUGUUGUGCUUAGAUUUUUCCUAUCCUGAGUAUAUAAAUAUUAACCUGUAUUUUCCUGUGACACUUGUGGUUUCAUUUUUACGUUUAAAUCUGGGGGGGCGGAGGUUUGUGGAAUCUUUCAUGUGGUGGCUGGCCCCCGGAGUAGCAGAGAACCUGCAAACGCUGUCAACUUGUCAAAGAGAUCCAUGACCUCCUCAUCAUAAAAGAGCAAUUGCAUUCUUUUCUGCUGUUAAGCUUGUCCCAUAUGAUUUUAGCCAGUCUCCCAAGCUGGUGAAAGUGUUUUGACUGAUUUAAACUGUGCUGCCAUUGGCAUCUCCGUGAAUUUGUUGCACAUGUGUGUUCUCCAGAGUGGUGUGACCUGGUCUGUGGUGAGCAUGGCUUUAUAAUGCUCCUCACCCUUUCUCUUGUGAGCAAGUCUGUUUCCUUACAGAGUCGCCAUCAUCAGGUUCUUUCAAUUUUAUGUAUUGAUUUUUUGUGUGUGGUAAAUUGCACAUAACAUAAAAUAUUGCUGUAGCCAUUUUUACGUGUAGUCAGUAGUAUUAAGUGUAAUUGUGUGAGGCAACCAAUCUCCAGAACUUUCUCAUCUUGCAAAAAAGGAAACUACUCAGAAAACAACAUGAAACUCGCCACUCACUCCUUCCCACAGUCCUGGGCAACAAAUGUUCUUUCCACUUUCUGAGUUUGACUGUGAAGAUACCUCAUGAACGGUAAAUCCUGUGGUGUUUGUCUUUUGUGAUUGGUUUAUCUCACUUAGCCAAGUGUGCACGGGAUUCGUCCAGGUCGCAGCAUGUGUGCGUCUCCUUGUUAGUUCAUCCACUUGGCUGGUUCCACCUUUGGCCAUUGUGAAUAAGGCUGCUGUGGACAUGGGGUACAGUUUUUCUUUUCAAGAUCCUGCUUUCAAUUCUUUCAGUAAAUGGUUGUGAGGUGAUAGUGGAUUGUGCUUUCAAUUUGCAUUUCCCUGAUGCAUUUCAUGUGCUUAUUGGCCAUUUGAAUAUCAUAUUCAAAGAAAUGUCUAUUCCAGUUCUGUCUAUUUUAAAAAUUCAGGGUAUUACAACUGAUGACUAGUCGGAGUUCUCUAUAUUCUGGGUAUUAAGCCUUUAUCAGAUAUAUGAUCUGCAAAUAUUUUCUUCCAUUCCAUAAUAUUGUUUUUCACUCUGUGGUUUGAGUCCUUUGAUGCACAACCAUUUCUGAUUCGUUUGUUUCAUGGUGCUGGGGAUGGAACGCAGGGCCUCCCCAUGCCAAGCCAGGGCUCUACCACUGAGCCACAUCUCCAGCCCAGAGUAUUUUAGUUUUGAUGUAAUCAAGUUUACCUUAAUUGAUUUUUUACUUUUGUUGCCUGUCCUUUUAGUGUCAUCCAAGAAAUCAUUGCCAAAUUCAACAUUACAAAGUAUUUAAUGCUACUUUUUUUUCUUCAUCUCUAUUUCUGUAAUUAUUGGCUAGUAUUUUACCACUUCUCCUUUCCAUUUGUCCUCUUUGGCUACUUAACGUGUGAUUUUCAUAAGGAUUUCUUACAGUUGGGAAGACAAGCGAUUGCCGGUUGUGACUGUCAGACUUACUCUCCAUUUUUCCUUGUUAAUGCAGAAGCAUGUAUUAUACAGAGACCUGAAAAUAGUCUGAUAAGUGUGAGAGUAACGGGGUCUGGACUUGCUUCUCAUUACUUCCUCUUUAGUAGCUGAGCAUGAACAUAGUGCCCUUGAGUACUUGGCUCCACUUCAGCCAUUAUUGCUGCUAAAACUGACAGCAAGCCCUCUCGGCCCUUCUGCACCACGUUUACCAACCUGAGCCUCUUAUGGCUGUGUCUGAAUCAUUUUUGGGAACAUGAUGUGGUUCUCUCUUCUUUGCUUCCUUGAUUAUUUUUAAAAAUGUGGUAACAUUUCUGAACCUUCUGUCGAUAUAAAAGCUAGGAUGGUAGAGAAGGCAGCUUCCUCCUGCCCGUGGCCCCAGGCCCCAGCAUCUGAACCCUGCAUUUAUCUUCCCUCUCUUGCUUUUCAUGUAGCUUUUUAAAAAUUUUUAUCUAAACCUAUUUUUCAAGGUAUGUGUCUUUAUUUUAGUUUUUAACAUUGUAGAAAAAUUUAUGUUAUGUAAUCCUCUGGAAUGUUCUCACUUGGUGUGAAGUCAUACCAUCCCUUUUCUGGCAUGUAGUUUGGUUUCCUUGCUGAACAGAGCCCAUCUUGUGAUUCUAUACAGUUAAUUCCUCAGUUCUAUCAAUGGUGACAGCGUUGCUUUUCUUCUGUUAAGUGUCUUUAGAGGAAUGCUGUGCGAUGCUUUCUUGUCUUACAGAAUUAAAACAUGUGGCUGGCACUCUCAAUGCUCCACCCUGUUCAGCAGUGAGGAGUGUCAGCUGUUUGCUGUGUUUCCUGACAGGCCUUUCUGUCCAUUUGCAUUCUACAUGGAAAAGAGAGGUCACAUUGUUUUCCUGUAAGUCUUGGGCUAGUUCUGCUUACUGUACGUCGUUCCUGACUUGCUUUGUUUCACUUAACAGUAGUCAUAUGAGUCCAUAUAGAACUGUCUUUGUUCUUUCAAACCAUUGCAUAAUGUUCCAGCCAUGAAUGAUUCAGCUGUUCGGCCAGUGAUGGAAGUUCACUCCUUUGGCAUCAGAAGCAGUACUGUGAGAUCUCACCUUCACGCCCUGUGCAUCAUGCUGAGUGUUCCUCAGGGUAGUACCAAGACGUGAGUCCCUGGAUGUGGGUCUGUCUCUCUCCAGAACAGAGACACAGAUUUGCAUACCUGAAUAUGAGAGUAUCUGUUUUUACAUACCUUCUUUGGCACUCAGCACACAAAACCUUUUUUUUUUUUUUUUUUUUUAAUUCCUGCCGGUUGCCCUCUUUAAUCUGUCAUGUAGGUACAGUGACUAUGGAAACUGAUUGGUACAACAAUCUGUUGUCUUCUGUGUGGAUUUAGCAUUUAUGGGCUUAAUGGUGAUAGAGGCCCCAAGGUCCAAGACAUGAAAUGAUUUGUAAUUUGGUCAAGGUAUAGUUUGUUAAAUUCAUGUCAUGAGGCUGCCAAGGCCACCCGGCUAGUGCUCUCCAUCCCUGUCACACUGUGACUUCCUUCUCUGCUUAUCCCUGCAUCCAAGCAGUUCUUCUGAAAGCACCAAGAUUUUGCAGCUAUAGGUAAGUUCCUGGCUAGUAUUUCUGUAGUGAGUACCAUUGCAGGGAAGGGACCUUGGAGUAUAUGUGGCAGAACUGAUAAGUCAUUAGACUUGAACCUGAAAAUCAAAUGCUAUGCAAAAGCCCAAUACAUAAUACCUAACUCCUCCCUCCGAGAUAACUAUCAAAGACUUUGUUUUUAUUCCUUUGGACAGCUUCCCUGCCUGGACUUAACUAAAAUUUAUGUUAUUAUCUUCUCUAAGAUGGAAUCGUGUGAUGUUACUCUUCUGGCUCCACAAUCUCUACUCCUGGUGCUGACAUUGUCUUCCUUUCCCCAUGGUUGACUUUAAGGUUAUUUCUAGGACUUUCUGGCCAUCGCAAGCAGUGCUGCCGUGAUCCACUCUGAAUUCCUUGGGUGCACCGGCUUAGCAUCCCCAGGACAGUGCGUGUAGGAAGCCAUGGGGUCUGGGCCGGGCAGCUCCUGAAAUUCAUGCCCAUUCGCACUCCUCAGUUUUUCUGUGUCUGGGACCCUCAGUUUUGUCAGAUGGGUCAGAACUUGAAGAAGCCAAGUCCAGAGUCUACUGCCUGGUGCUCUAAGUAGGUUAAAAACAAAACCCAGACAUUUCUAGGAAAGCGACUGUGUCAUUUCCAAAAAGCAGUAUCAAUUAUGUCUUAGUUGUCUUUUCUGGGCCACUCUGCCCUCUGCUCAGCAACGUAGUGGCUUUCUGAGUUGAGGACACUCCCCUCUAAGAAGGCACAGGUGCUCUGGCCUUCCUCGUCUCUCAGGAUCCCAGGGAGGUGGACGCUGGACAGCAGGGCAGCUCGAGCAGCCUCCACCUGGAGGCCUUACCAUCUCCUGAAGUAGAUGCCAGCGUUCCUCAGGCUCCUCAGCCUCUAGCAGCUGGCAUACUGUCCCCUUGCUUUUCUGUGAUGUGACAACUGUGUGACCCAUAGUUGGUGUGUCAAAACAAGGCCCUGCCUCAGCCUCUGCUCCGGUGCUGACUCCACUGGUUUCCUCCUGCUCAUUUCACUUACAUGUGUAGAAAAUAUUCAAAGUAAUAUUUGCUCAUGUUAAAACUUCAGGCCCUGAAGGUGACAGGGACAUCCUUUUCUAAUGUUUCACCCCCUUCCCCACAGAGGCAACUGUUGUGGCCUGGUCCUGAAACUUCCAGAUAAUUCUGUGUCCACAUAAAGCUGUGGAGGUACAGGCACACCACACAGCCUGACUUAGUCUGGAUCUGCCUGUGGUCCCACCUGUGUGAACUGUGGCCAUGUUCGAAUUGCCCACUCCCCUUCUGGGGAGCAACGGGGUUGUCUCCAGCAUUUUGAGUGUAUCUCAGGCUGUACUGUCUGCCUGCCUGUGUCUUCAUGUACAUGGGCAAGUGUGUCAAUAGGGCAGAGUUUUCUGUAGGAGGAAUUCUGGGGCCUGGUACAUGUCAUUUCCAAUUACGAUGAAUGGCACUGUGGAGAUGGUUCCAAGUGGUACUUCCCACACCUGUACCAACACUGUUCCCAAAUUUAGUUAUUUGUCAGUGCGAGAAAUGAAAAAUAAUUGUAGUUCCUAUUUCUGUUUCUACUGGAUUGUAUACUUGUUGGUUUAGAAGAGCUCUUAAUAUAUAUAUAUUAAGGAAAUUAACCAUUUGUCAUUUUUGCUGCAAAUACCUCCCCAUUCUUCACUGAUCUUUAAGUUUUAUGGUAUUUUACUGUCCAAAGUUUUAAAUAUGUAUGCAAUCAUUUAUAAACAUCUAAUGGCUUCCGGACAAGUUUUUUUCUUUCAUUUUUAUUAGACCUGUCUGGUCUCAAUUUCUGUAAUGAGUGACUCAAGGUACUUAGCCUGUUGCCUCUAUACCAUGUACUGAUUAAUACAGCUCUUUACCAUUGAUUCAUAUACCAGUUCCAAGUGGUUUUAAAUAUUGUAGUCUGUGCUUUAAUAUAUGGUGAGGAUGGCCCUGUCUCCUGACUCCACUUUCCUGAGUAUUCCUGGCUAUGGUUGCGUGAGUAGUUGGACCUUCCCUAUGAUGUCUUCAUGAACUUCCUCCUGUGCAAGAAUAAGGUAUGUCUUUCCAUUUACUGACAGUGAUUUAAUCUGACUAUAUUAUUGGAAAACUGUGGUCGGUGAUAUUGGCCUUGGCUGUCUACCUUGGUCUGGAUUUCCUAAGCUGCCUCCUGGCAGGCCCCACCCCACACGGCAGCACCCAUCACAGCACCCUUAUGUAUUUAUUUUUGCAUAGUGGUUACUAGCUGCUGUUACACUGUCGAUAUCUUUGAGUGAUCUUUGCAGUUGAAAUGCUUCUGUACACACUGCCAUGCUAAAAAGGCCUUUAGGUUUAUGCAAAGCCAGCACAUUGUACCCAAGGUCACAUUCAGGGUGGGUUUGCUUUCUGAACCUCUGCCCCUGUGUGGCUGUCGCCUCUCACAGGAAGUGCUGUGUAUCUGGAAUGUCUGAAUGGUGAUCAGCAAGCACCUGACCCCUAUGCUCAACCCCUCAUGUACCUUUUUCUCCUGCCCACACCUGCGGGAACCAAGGGCUCACACACCCUAAGUGAGCCAUGUAGCUCCGCCCCAGCCCCUGCUGGCACUUUGACGUUUCCAUGCUGUCUGGCCUUGUGAGAGAUUACACAGAGCAGAACGUUCCAGUGUCUCAGAGCCACCAUUGUGAACAUGCUGUUCUGUGUUCCUUUGGGGGGCUGCUGAGGUGGGGUGCAUUGGUCCCGUCUCUACCCACAGAAGGCAGAGUGGCGGCCAUCUGCUUCAGAACGAGGCAUUUGGGCUUUCCUUCUUCCAAAGUCGAACACUGUCCUGUUUCUCCUGACUUGGUGAUGAGAUAGGGAAGGUGGCCUCUUGCCCAGCAGUGCAGGCCCUGGUCCAGGGGUCUGAACAGGUUGGAGGCCUUUGACUCAGUUGCCAAGUGCCCUGCAGUGGGGUUCGGCCACAUCCCCAUCUUGCCCACCCUAACUGGUGUUUAUCUUCUCUGGUUUUAAGGCCGAAAUAACAUAUUAGUAUUUUGUCUUUUUUUGUUUGGUUGUGGUGCUGGGGUGGAACCCAGGCCCUCGUACCCAUAUCUGUGUUUUAAUUUGCACUUUUUGAUUCCGAGGAGCAGGGUGAAUACCUGGGUGUUGCGAGCCUCGUGCUUACCUGUACCUUCACAGCUGUGCAAGAACUAUGUUGACGUUGAGCCUGGUACAGUGCAAGGUUUCUCAAGUUUUGUAGUUUGCCUUUUAAUUUUAUGUGUUGGAUCUUGCUAAUGUUUUAAAUUUUGUAAUCGGAGCCAUCAAUUUUCAUUAGAAUGGGCUCGGACGUUGUGUUCUGCUGUAUUUCUUCUGGUCCCCUUGGGCACUAAACUAAUCCAUCUGGAAGUUGUUUGGGAGUACAGUAUGAGGCAGGAACCUGAUUUGGCUGUUUCAAAAUGACUGAUUUCCCCAGCACCAUUUACUGAAUAUUUCUACUUUGUCUACUGAUUUGAAAUGCUGCUUGGUAAUCAUUAGCUAAAUCAUAGUUAACCCUUUCGGCAGGAACCGCCAUCUUCCAGUAACUCGCCAAAAUGACAAACCAAAGGGAAAGAAGAGAGGAACCUGAUAUAUGUUCUCCAGGCCUUUUGGCAAACAUGAGUUAUUCCUUUGGCCACAUUUAUGGGAAUCUACAAGGAUGAUAUUGUAGACAUUAAGGGAAUGGGUACUGUUCAAAAAGGAAUGCCCAUAAAUGUUAUCAUGGGAAAACUGGAAGAGUCUAGUGUUACCCAGCAUGCUGUUGGCAUUGUCGUGAAUAAGCAAGUAAAGGCAAGAGUCUUGCCAAGAGAAUUAAUGUGCGUAUUGAGCAUCUUAAGCACUUGCAGAGCCAAGACAGCUUCCUGACACAUGUGAGGGAAAAUGAUCAGAAAAAGAAGGAAACCAAAGAGAAAGGUACUGGGUUCAGCUGAAGCGCCAGCCUGCUCCACCCAGGGAAGCACAUUUUGUGAGAACAAAUGGAAAGGAGCCUGAGCUGCUGGAACCUAUUCCCUAGAAUUCGUGGCACAAUAAAUGUAAAAACAAAUAAAAGCCUGUGAACUUUAAAAGUGAAAAUGAUAAUAAUAAUGCAGAUAAGUCUGCUUCUGGACUUUCUGUCUGUUCCACUACAGCUGCCUUACCCUGUGACAGUCUAAUGUUUCACUAAUUUUCUUAACUUGAUACUGUUUUCACAUAGAGUAAUCCAGGUCCCUGUCCCUCUCUUAAGACAUUUGGAUUUUUAUUGGAAAUUCAUUUCCUUUAUAAACAUUUUGAUAUUGAGAUUUCCCCAUUCCCUGUUCAUUCAGGAUAGGAUAAUUUUUUUAUGUUCCUUGGAAGCUAUAGACUUUUUUUUUAUUUGGAUUAUGCAGGUUUAUGAGGUUUGUUCCUUGAAUGAAUAUUUCAUAUUAUGAUUGGAUGUUAAAAUUUCUGGGGCUGAGGAUAUAGCUCAGUAGUAGAGCCCUUGCCUAGCAUGCAUGAGGCCCUGGAUUCAAUCCCCAGUACUAUCAAAAGUUUUCCAAAUUUAAAAUUAAUUUAAAUCAAUUUUUUGUUUCUGAUUAUGAUAGCAUAUGGUAAGACCUGUUUUAUGUGUAUUCUUUGUGUUGUAAGUAAAUGUGCCAGACUUCACCAUUAGGAUCAACUGGGAGGUUAAACAGCAUAUUGGCUAAAAGUGCUCUCAAGUCAGGCAGCUGACUAUCAUCCUGAGCACCCCCUCAUUUACCACCUGAGCAUUCCUCUGCCUCAGUUUCCCCAUCUGUAAGAAGGGGUGGUCAUGACCUACCUCAGAAGUGGGAUAGGGAUUAGUGACAUAGUGCAGGCAGGGUACUUGGCCUCAUUUGACAUGGACUUAGCGCUGUUCUCUGGGGUUUUCCAAGUGAAUAGCAGUCCACUGGGGAUUGUGUCACCUACCAGAACUACUCCAUUUUUCUUGCCUCUCUUCUUGUCUUAAUGGAAUGGGCUGUGAUUACUAAUGAGCCGUGAGCAUUGUGAUCUCAUUUCUAUUCAACCCAUGGGGAAUCUGUCAGCAGACGGAGGAGGACGAGGGUUCUGCUGGGCCCCGCGGGCUGCAUAUGAGCCCCCUUGGCCUGUUUUGUGUUGCCCAGAGGGUGGUCUUGGUGGUCCUAAAUUAGCUGUGAUCUGCUCAUGGUUUACAUUUUAAAAUGUAUGCGUUUAUUUUAACAUAGCUUUUUUAUUUAUGAUGGUAAAUAUAAAGUUUCCUUUUCAAAUAAAUUUCAUUUUUCCUUCUAAAAGUCAGGCUAUAGUCACACUGCCUUAGAACUCAUGCCUUUCAAGUGCUCAAUUCGUGGGUCUUGGUCCGCUCACUCACUGCGCUGUGCAGCCGUAGACUUCCUUGGCCCAGACAGAAGCGCUGCACUUUCCUGCCCCAGGCCCUGGUAAUCUUCAUUAUACUUUGUCUCUAUGAAUUUGCCUGUUCUAGAACCUCAUGUAAGUGGAAUCAUGCAUUGUUUGUCUUUCUAUGUCUGAUUAUUUCACUUAGCAUGAUAUUUUCAAGGUUCAUCAUGCCUGUAGCAUGUAACAGGACUGCACUCCUUUUCAUAGCUGAAGGAUGCUCCAUUACUGAUACCCUGCACGGUGCUGAUCGGUUGGACUUGGGAUGGUUUCUUCUUUGGACUGUUAGGAACAGUGCUACUGUGAACAUCUAUGUACAAGCUUUUAUGUGAACAUGGGAUUUCAGCUGUCCUGGGUGUCCAGGCAGGAGUGGAAUUGCUGGGUCAGAGUCACUCUGUAUGUAAUUCUGAGGCCCUGCCAGGCUGCUUUGCCUUCGCAGCGGUCAUGUGUGAGGGUUCCAUUUCCCCACGUCUCACCAACACGGGUUAUUGACUUUUUCAUUAUAACCAUCCUGUGGGCAUGAAAUGAUAUUGUGUAAUUGUGACUUGCAUUUCUCUGAAAAUGGACAAUAUCAAGUGCCCUUCAAACACCAUUGGCAUGUGCAUAUCUUCUCUGGAGGGGUGACUGUGCUGAGCCUUGGCCUGGUUUCUAAUUAGGUGUUUGUCAUUUCAUCAUUGAAUUGUAAGAGCUCUUUAUAAAUUCUGGAUUCCAGACCCUCAUCAGAUAUGUGACUUGCAAAUACUUUGUCCCAUUCUGUGGCAGUCCUUAAACAGGAUGGAAGAGAAGUCCUGCUUGGGUGUGUCCUUCGUCUGUGAUGUCAUCGAUGUCACCUGCGCUUAUGCUGGAUCAUGGGAAAAGGUAUCCAUUUGUUUUCUAGAUUGCUCUGGAGUUUUUUACUUAUUUUUAAAUCACAGUAGAUAUUGCUUUCCCUGCAUCUCCCAACCUCUGAUGAUUUUAUUUAUUUUUUUGUAUUUUUUGUUGUAGAUGGACACAGUGCCUUUAUUUUGUUUAUUUAGUUUUAUGUGGUGCUGAGAAUUGAACCCAAUGCCUCACACGUGGUAGGCAAGCACUCUACCACUGAGCCCCAGCCCCUGAUGAUUUUAAUUCUAUUAAUGAACUAUUAAUGAUUUCAUUAAUACUAAUGGAAUAGUAAACCCUCCUGUGAUUUCUGAUCCAAGGCACUCCUGGGCCUGGAGGCAUGCAAUGAAUUAGAAGGUCCCCUUGGACUUCAGGCUGCUGUCUAGCAGGCUUAGGGAUCAGGACAUCCAAAGAGAUGGUUCUAAGAACAGCAUCUACAAGCUCAGGUUUGAGCCAGGCAACUAGGUUUCAAUUCUGUUUCUUUGCCACUUAGUAGCAUGUGACUUUGGCUAAAUUUCUUAAAUGCUUUUGUUUCAAGGGAUGAAGUCUUGCUAACGUUGCCCAAGCUGGCCCUGAAGCGUUCCUCCUGAGUAGCUGGGAUACUACACCUGGGCCCAUCCGAAUUUCUUAUUGUUGAAGGUUUCCUCAGUGAUGAGGUGGGGAGAAGAGUGAACCCGGGUCUGUGGUGAGGCUGAAACGUGUGUGUGGCUGCCCUGCUUGAGGGGGGUGGAGCUGCUCUCUCUGUCCCUUUGUGGCAGGAGUGUAUCGGACAGUCCCUGGUCUUCCCUGCAGUCCACAGGCAGUGUCCUGGGACACUGGCCACUCUGUUGGUGGAGGUUCCGUGGUUCUCUGAGAGUUCUCCUAGGGCUUUGGGCUGCUCAGUAUUUCUAUUUCACCACAAGUCGAUUUCUCAAGUUUUGUUUUCUAAGAAAAUUGCCUUUUUCGCUUAUGCUAGUGCAGAGGAUCUUUUUUACUCUAAUAUCCUCCUCAGGAAUAGCUUUUCAACUUUUUUAUACCUAGCUUUUCUUUUCUUAUCUUGAAUAGACUUGCAAGAAAUCUAUUUUAUUGGCCUUUUUGAAAAAGCUGCUUCAGAUUUAAAAAAAAAAAAAAAAAAAAAAAAGCAGCUGUGCAGCUCUGCUCUCCUUUGGUAUCGUGGGCAGGUGACUCACUGUGUCCUGGCCCAUGUGGCUCCGACGGGGAAGAGCGGCGAAGGCUGGGCGCCGAGCUCACGGUGUAGGCAGCCUUGUGCCAGCCACCACACCCUCAGCCCACGGUGGCAGUCAGGGCCCCCAACUAGAGCAGAGCGUCCUGAGGAGACUGCUGACCACCCAGAAGCGCAUAAGGUGUCCUGUGGGUGGCAGGCCCUCAAAGGCAUGCAGUGCACCCAGCAAAGGAAACAGCCAACUGUGGUUGCCUCAGGCCAGUUUCACCUUUAAAUGGUCACUCCAUCCACGUCCUUUAUGGUCACCACUGUGCUGGUGCCUGUCGGUGCAGGCAGACAAGAUGACUGACCCUCCCCUCUUGGGCCUGUUCUCAUGGUGCAUAGGCCUCAGAUGGUAAUUACACAAACCAGGAGUGAACAGCAGCCAGGCACAGUGGCACAGGCCUGUCGUUCCAGCCACUUGGGAGGCUGAGGCAGAAGGAUAGUAAAUUUGAGGCUAGCCUCAGCAACUUACAAAUGAAAUUGAAAAGGGGCUGGGAGUGUAGCUCAGUGGUAGAGAGCUGGUCAAUCCCCAGCCAUGAGUGAACAGAGCCCUCCCCAUAGGAGUCCUUGGACCCUCACUGGAAGGAAGAGCACUCUGGCGAGAGCAGGGCCUGACCAAGUCUGUGGGCUCUGAGGGCCUGGCUGGGGCUCGCCAGCCCUGACUGUGGCCCCAUGAGAUCCAGGUGCCCCAUGGGCACCCAGGUUUCUCCAUAUUUAGGAAGAAACUUUGUUGCUCUUGUAUCUGUGUGUGUGGUUUCAGUGCUGAGGUGUGCUUGACCUUAUGUAAGUGCAUGCAUGCUUUAAAUUUCCAAGUGUUUAGUAGUUUUUAUUUCUUCACACCUUUUUGUCCGUUUCUGCUUUAACUGAUGGUUAUCAGAGAAAGUGGCCUGUACAAUGUCUGUGGUUUUAAACAUAUGGUUCCUUUUCUUCAUUGCUUAAUGUAUGAUUAUUUUUAUAAAUGUUCCAUGGCAGUUGAGAGGUGUUCUCUGUCACAGUCCACAUCUGGAUCAGUGUUUUUGAUCAAGUUCAAAUCCACCAUGUAUUUGUAUAACAGUCGCAGGCUGCAUGCGUCCUCCCACCUCCCCUGGAUUGCUCCUCUUGGGGGGCCUUUUUGUUUGCUCCAUGUGUUUUGAUGCAGCAGUACUGAUCCAUCAAGAUGCCCAGCAACACAGACACCCCUCUGUGAAGUGCUUUCUGUUUGGAAGUCACCACACCUGGUGUUGGUGGUAUAAACUGGAACCUGCUCAUGCACACACACCUGCACACAGGCACAACACCCAGGCAUGCGCACACACCAGUCUUCCUGAUUACAAUGGACUGAAAUACCUGCAGAGGUUAUUUUCAACUUGAAUUCUGCAACUGUAACUAUCUUUUACAUCUCUGCUUUCUGUUUGUGUAUGUGUGUUUAUUUUACACUCCCGAUUGGUAGGGUUUUUUUGCUAUUUUUUACUUUGUGUUAGGUAGAAAGUAUAUGUUGGGGACCCAGUUACUGGUACUGAAAUGAUCACCCUUCCGAUUGAGGGCAUACCAGGGUGUGGACUCGUCACUGCAGCCUGGGCCACGUGGGCCGGUGCCAGCACUUCGUGAUUACCAAUGGUGCGGUCGCAAAUCCCCUUUUCUACCUCCAGACUGCUCUGGGUUUGUGUUCUCCACUGGCCAAAGGGACAGGACAGUUGCUGGGCUUUUGCUGGCUUCCAUGGGCCUCCAAUGGUUCUGAGGAACCAGGGGUGGAGGCUGCUGGUUUUGCCUGACCCCACCAACGCCACUGUUCCCUUUGCUCAGGGGCUGAGUGUGCAGUGGUUUCUGGAGUCAUUUUCAUUCUCACCCUUUAGCCCGUUUCCUGUGUAGAUUCCUCUUGGGGUUCCCAUAGCACACCUGAGGGCCUGUCACUAAUGUGGAAUUAAUUCUUUGCUCACUUACAGAGUAUGUUUUGAACCCCCAUCUCUGAGCCUUGUAAGGCCAGAGCUUUGUUGCUUCAUCGUCAGGUUGGGACUUACCUGGUCGGGCAUGUUUCCUCUCUGCUGCUGCAGUAAGUAAGUGUCUGUACUUCCUGCUGUGUUUGCUGCUGAAGCUGAAGGGAGCCUGAGGGAAGAUGGGGUGCUAGCAGGAGGGGUAGCCUGAGAGAUGGGGAGGGGAUGCAGGCCCUGGGCCCAGCAGGGUCCGGAGGCUGGGCGGUAGGUUCUCAGUACACCUGGCAGUUCUCAGACCUUGGUGUGUGUGUGUGUGUGUGUGUGUGUGUGUGUGUGUGUGUGUGUGGAGAGAGAGAGAGAGAGAGAGGGGGAGAAGUGGGGCUGACUGCCUGGAUUCCUGGGGUGAGUACAGAGGAGCCAGUUCUCUGCUUGGCUGACCUUCUCUGUGCCCCUGAGCAGAUUACAGCCCCUUGGAGCCUCAGCUUCUCAUCUGGACCUGACUGGGGACACAGCUUCUGAUCUCCUCAGGGCUCACAGGAAGGGAUCCUGGCCUUUGAAUUGACAAGGACUACAGGGCUCAUGGCGGUGCUGUGUGGACCCGCCAUGGCCCUAGGGGAGGCAGAACCUGCACCCACACCCUGGACUGCCAGGCGCCAAGGGUCCCGCGUCGGCUCCGUGUAACUCUGGGCUCUGAGGCUCUGGAGACUUGAACCCAGCCUCCCAGAACUCGCAGUCCAGGUCAGAGCCCGCAGAGGACUGCUGGGGACGCUGUGCUUCCGACUUCAUUUUCAAACGAUGGCACUUCUCAAGAAGGAAUCCACAGCCGACGAGCUCAGGAUGGAAGGCAGUCCCACCACACAGGUGGCCUGCGUGUUUAUUUGGAUCUUCUGGAAAUGGCUGAGUUCAUAUACAAGCUUGUUGCUGCCGACGCCGUCCCAGAGCAAGCAGGGCUGUCUGACUUCACGCGCUCCUCAGUCGGGAGACACAUGUGGCUGCCAGGCUGGGGGACAAGUGUGCCCUGGCUGUGCCUCCGGAAGGGGUGUCAGGCAGGCGGAGGGGGGCGGGUGGGAAGGGGGCGCGGAGCCGCCGCAGGUGUUUCUUUUACUGGCCGCGGCUCAUGGCCGCGGUCAGGUUUUGCUUUUCACCUUUCAGUCUGUGAGAAAGUGAGCAGGAAAAAGCAAAAGGCGCUGGUGGCGGCACGCCCACGAGUGGGCCGGGGUUCGAGUCCCCGCGGCGUCCCUGCUUCCUCCUGGCUCCAGCUCCAGGCCCCACGGCCCUACCCAGAGGAACAUGGGUCCCCAGGAGAGGCACAGGUGGGCACAGGGUUUCAGGGUCACCCGCUCCUUCCGUCCACCCUGUCCUGGGCUGGGCUCUCAAGGGCUCUGGUGGCUGCAGCCUCCUUGCCCUGGGCCCCAGUCUCCGGUGACCUGCGGGCGACCUUGCAUCCCUCUGAACUUCCCAUUCUAGGUAGUUGACAUAAGCAGAAUCCACGGUGAGCACUUCCAGGUCUGGCUCUUCACUCAGCAUCGUCUUCCUGAGGUUUAACCAUGCUUACGCUCCUCAGUCCUCACGCCAUUGGACGCGUAGACCACAAUCAAGUCCACCAGCUAAUGGACCCUGGGUUGUGCCUGCAGUGUUUUUUUUUUCCCCCAGUUGUGGAUGGACACAAUACCUUUAUUUUUUUUAAUUUAUAUUUAUGUGGUGCUUAUUGGAUGUGGAAAAUAAAAAAAAAAAAACACAAUAGUGUGGUCUGAGAAAAGAAAGCCAUACAGUGAGAGCUUCCACUUCUUUCAAGAUAAAUCCUUU